rnacentral:tRNA from 1 species
GAGGUCGUGGACUGGAUGGACGAGCCGGAGGUCUUCGACCCCCGGCUGCCGCUGGUCACCCGCCGGAUCGCGGCCGGAACGACCUUGCC